ACCUCGUGAAUGCCUGUGAACUUCUUCCUCUUGGUUUGUUUUUUCUUCCGUGAACACAAGAGGAAGAAGUUCACUCGCAGUCGCAGCGAUGAAGAGUAAACACAUGAACCUGCUCCUUCCUUCAUUUGAAACGGACCAAGAGGAACACGAUGAACGCAAGACGACAGAAAACGGAGGCAUUGGUGGCGACGACGUCUGCAGGUUCAAAGGCAACAAAGCGGCCAAGGAAGCAGCUAGUGUUGGGAUGAAAGGUACCCUUGCGAGGCUACUACCCUUCCUUCCGCAAUUCAGCUGAUGCCGAGGAGGCGGUGGUUGAAUCCUUACGCUCUGGCUCCGCCAACUCUUAUCCCCCGGGAGUCGGUAUUUUACCGGCCAGGAGAGGUGGCUUGUUCGAUGAUCACGGGAGAGAGACAAGCGGCGAGGAUAAGAAGUACAUAUCUUAAUUAAAACAAUUCUAAGACAAUAUAUUGGAUUUUUUCGAUGUAGAAACAAAUACAGGAGAGGUUAUCAAUAGAAAGAAUGUCUGGAGAUACUGGUCUUAUACAAGAUGCCAUGGAUGAGAACUGAGAAGAGAUUUUGUAGGCUGAAACAGGGCGAAGUAAAGUAUUAGACUUGCUAUGCUAGAAAUAAGCGGUGUAGCAAAAGACUGAUUAGUAUAUAGGUUGUUCUGUAAUUCCUAAUGUUAAAGCUUGAACCUUUGUAAGUCCUGUUCCGUUUAUUUUUCCCAGACCAAGGACAGGUCGGAUUAUCAAAGAGUUUGUAGUAGCAACCAGAAUUGGCGAUCUUGGUGAAUGGUGCCUAUAUGAAUCAUAAGUUGCAGGUUAUCAAAGGUAAUGACAGUCUUUCAAGAGUGCAAGAUGGUGUUAAGAAGGUUAAGAAACAGUCUUUCAAGAGUUUAUUGUGACAAUCUGCUGCACAUUUGAUUCGGUGAGUGCAAGAUGGAGCUUCCAGGGGCAAGUAACAAUAGUGCCAGCUUUCCAGAAAAGAAAAGAGAUCAUACAACCUCAAAUGGUUCUCAUGGAGCCUUUCAACGAAUCAAGCUGGUGAGUAGGAUCAUCGCUUU